AGAUUGAACGCUGGCGGCAUGCCUUACACAUGCAAGUCGAACGGCAGCACGGGAGCAAUCCUGGUGGCGAGUGGCGAACGGGUGAGUAAUACAUCGGAACGUGCCCAGUUGUGGGGGGAUAGCCCGGCGAAAGCCGGAUUAAUACCGCAUACGACCUACGGGUGAAAGCGGGGGAUCGCAAGACCUCGCGCUAUUGGAGCGGCCGAUGUCGGAUUAGCUUGUUGGUAGGGUAAAAGCCUACCAAGGCUACGAUCCGUAGCUGGUCUGAGAGGACGACCAGCCACACUGGGACUGAGACACGGCCCAGACUCCUACGGGAGGCAGCAGUGGGGAAUUUGGACAAUGGGCGCAAGCCUGAUCCAGCCAUGCCGCGUGCGGGAAGAGGCCUUCGGGUUGUAAACCGCUUUGUCAGGAAGAACGGUUCGAGUCUAAUACCUUGAGCUAAUGACGUACUACGAAGAAUAAGCACCGACUAACGUACGUACGCCGAGUACGCCGACGGUAA
rnacentral:rRNA from 1 species